UUUUGUCACUUAUAAUUUUUUGAAGUGUUUCAUACAUGCACAUAUAAAUGCUUUGAUUUUUGGUCCCAUGUCUAAAUUCUGGCUCCGUGUAUGGAUAUUCUCUUUUUAUUGAUUAACUUGCAAAGUGUGCAUCCAUUUCCAAAUAAUUGGUAGUUUCGAUCAACUAUUGAUUCCAAGGCAUUCCUCUUAAUUGGAGUGAAGAAAUACUUUUUUUCCGUUCCGUCCCAUUCAUUUAGCUUAUGCAUGAGAAUGAAGCUGAGAAAUAAUAAAACAUAUCAUUGCAAAGACAAGUGAAUGACACAGGAUUAUGGUAAUCGUAUUGCAAGUCAAAUGUCGUACAUGGAAAUAUCUGAAAAGUUUUACAAUGCUUUCAAGUUGUGUGGAUCCUCCCACAAAUCCCCACGCAUUGCUCGCAAGCUUCAUGCCCAGCUCAUUCUCUCUGGUUUGGACGCUUCCAUUUUCUUGCUCAACAAUCUACUUCACAUGUACUCCAACUGCGCCUUGAUCGAUGAUGCUUUUCGCGUUUUCCGCGAGACCCAUCAUCGCAACGCCUUCACCUGGAACACAAUGAUCCAUGCCUUGGUUGAUUCUGGAAAGAUUAUCGAUGCAGAGAACCUGUUCGAUGAAAUGCCUGUUAGAAUGAGAGACUCUGUUUCUUGGACCACCAUGAUGUCUGGCUAUUGUCAAAACGGCCUCCCUGCAAAGAGCAUCAAAGCUUUCACUUCAAUGCUUCGUGACUCUGAUUAUCGAAUUCAGAACUACGACCCCUUUUCGUUUACCUGUGCAAUGAAGGCCUGUGGCUGCCUUGCCUCCACUCGUUUGGCUCUUCAGUUGCAUGCCUAUGUCAUCAAGUUGAACUUUGGAACCCAAACAUGCAUUCAAAACUCCCUUGUUGAUAUGUACGUUAAGUGCGGAGCUGUAAAUUUGGCAGAGACUGUUUUCUUCAACAUUGAAAGCCCAAGUUUGUUUUGUUGGAACAGUAUGAUCUAUGGUUGUUCGCAAUUUUACGGACCCUAUGAAGCUCUCCGUAUAUUCACCCAAAUGCCUGAGCGGGACUCUGUUUCAUGGAACACGCUGAUCUCAGUUUUGUCUCAGCAUGGCCUUGGGGUACGUUGUCUUAGCAUGUUUGUAGAGAUGUGCAAUCAGGGUUGUAGACCAAAUUUCAUGACUUAUGGCAGUGUCCUCAGUGCAUGUGCCAGCAUUUCUGAUCUGGAAUGGGGUGCCCAUUUGCAUGCUCGGAUUCUUCGCGUGGAACAUGGCCUGGAUGCGUUUCUGGGUAGUGGUCUGAUAGAUAUGUAUGCCAAAUGUGGAUGCUUAAGACUGGCAAGGCGUGUGUUUGAUAGUUUAGGGGAACGCAAUCAAGUUACUUGGACUUGUUUGAUCACUGCGAUGGCACAAUUUAGCCUUGAUGAAGAUGCUUUGGCACUGUUUAACCAAAUGAGACAGGCUUCCGUGGUGUUGGAUGAUUUUACUCUUGCCACUGUUCUUGGGGUUUGUUCUGGUCAACAUCAUGCUGCAACCGGGGAACUGCUUCAUGGAUAUACGAUCAAAAGUGGGAUGGAUUCCUCUGUUCCUAUAGGGAAUGCGAUCAUUACAAUGUAUGCCAAGUGUGGAGAUGCUGAGAAAGCUAAUCUUGCAUUUAGUGUUAUGCCGCUUAGAGAUACCAUAUCAUGGACAGCUAUGAUCACCGCAUUCUCUCAGAAUGGAGACAUUGAUCGAGCCCGGGAAUAUUUCAAUGCAAUGCCCGAGCGUAAUGUCAUAACUUGGAACUCCAUGUUGAGCACAUAUGUUCAACAUGGAUUCUCAGAAGAAGGCCUCAAGUUGUAUCUUUUGAUGAGAAGCACAGGAGUCAAUCCAGACUGGAUCACUUUUGCAACAUCAAUCCGGGCCUGUGCUGACUUGGCUAUUAUAAAGCUUGGGAUACAAGUUGUAUCCCAUACUAUCAAGUUUGGGCUCAGUUCUGAUGUUUCAGUUGCAAAUAGUAUUAUUACCUUGUAUUCGAGAUGUGGACUAAUUGGAGAAGCACAGAAAGUUUUUGAUUCAAUACAUGCCAGAAAUCUGAUUUCCUGGAAUGCUAUGAUGGCAGCAUUUGCUCAAAAUGGUUUAGGUAGGAAAGUAAUUGAAACAUUUGAGGAUAUGCUGAAGACAGGGUGCAGACCUGAUCAUAUAAGCUACGUUGCUGUUUUAUCCGGGUGCAGCCACAUGGGGCUUGUAGCCGAAGGGAAACAUUACUUUGCUUCCAUGACUGACGUUUUUGACAUUUCUCCGACAAGUGAACACUUUGCUUGUAUGGUACAUCUGCUUGGACGAGCAGGGCUCCUAGAGCAGGCAAAAAAUUUGAUAGAUGGAAUGCCAUUUAUGCCAAAUGCCACUGUUUGGGGGGCUCUUCUAGGAGCAUGCCGAAUCCAUCAUGAUUCGAGACUAGCAGAAACUUCCGUGAAAAAGUUGAUGGAAUUAAAUGUUGAAGAUUCCGGAGGUUAUGUCCUUCUAGCAAAUAUAUAUGCUGGCUCUGGAGAGUUGGAAAAUGUUGCUGAUAUGAGAAAGCUGAUGAAAGAAAAAGGAAUUCGAAAGAGUCCAGGUUGUAGCUGGAUAGAGGUUGAUAACAGGGUACAUGUGUUCACUGUGGAGGACACCAGUCAUCCACAAAUAAAGGAAAUUUAUGCAAAACUAGAGGAGAUGAUGAAGAAAAUAGAAGAUACAGGAAGAUAUAUUAGUGAAGUCAGUUCUGCUCAUCGGAGUCAGAGAUACCACAGUGAAAAGCUGGCCUUUGCUUUUGGGUUGCUUAGUUUGCCAUCUUGGAUGCCCAUACAUGUAAUGAAGAAUCUCCGAGUCUGCCCUGAUUGUCACUUGGUAAUAAAGCUUCUGUCAUCUGUCACCUCAAGGGAACUUAUCAUGAGAGAUGGAUAUAGAUUUCAUCAUUUCAAGGAUGGGGUUUGCUCCUGUGGGGACUAUUGGUAAUCUCUGCUAUGCCAUCGGUAUCUCCUCCAUCUCCUAUUGCUUUUUCUCUAUCAUUUUUCUUUCCUUCUCAAAAGCUGGCAAUUGUUAUUUAAAAGAAUAUAUUAAUUGUACUAUAGUUAUGAGGUCAGAUUUUAUUUAACUUAAAUAGGAGUUCUGAAUUGUAGUUCUUAAAAGAUCAAAAUUGCGAGAGGUCUGUAAAAGUUAUUCCAUCCAUAAACUACUAACCAGUUCAUACAUUAACAAGCAUCAAUUGGCAGUAACAGAGUUGCAUAUGUGCCAGAUUAAGUACCAUGUAAGAUGUCCAUGUGGCAAGGCCUUUCUUUCUCCUUCCUUGAUAAUGCUUUUUGUGCUAUAGUUGAAGUUAAAAAUUCAUUUUCCUUCUCUUCUUAUUUCCCCUUUUGGAAAAUCUCCACCUAGAGCAAGUAACAUUUUUGUAGAGUGAAGUUGAAGUGAACAAUUGACUUCCUUUUAAUAGGGUUUUAAUGUUUAGAAGGUGGGGCUGUUCUACAUGUGAGAAUGGAAGCAGGGAAGAAGUACUUACUAGUGAGUCCAGAGAGGGCCACAAAGUGUUAGGUUUAUGUUUGCAAAAUUUAUUGACUAAUGGAUUGGUAGAUGUUUCAACAUAGGUAAGAAAAUGUUGACAGACCUGAAACUCAGAAAUCAAGUACAAGGGGAUUAUCAAAUGAGGAGAGGAUGCCCAUGAAAUAUGUCUAACAAACGCUCCAAAGUUAAAAAAUAAUCCAAAAUCUAUCAGGAUAUCAUUAGAAUCUGUGUUUUAUUCUCACCAUGGAUAAAUAACUAUAAAUGGAGGAAAUAACAAUUGAAUUAUGUCAAAUUUGGUAAACAAAACAAGAAGUCAUUUCCAAAAUCAGCUUGGAGCCUCUCAAAGGCUACAACUAAUUCAUACUGAUGUGGCAGGACCUCAAAGAACACCAAUACACCAUCAUUGCAAGGUACUCUGCACUUUGCUCUUUUCAUAGAUGAUUUUUACAACGUGUGCUGGAUUUUUUUCUUGAAAUGCAAGCAUGAAGUGGCUGAUGUAUUUAUGAAGUUCAAGUGAAGGAUGGAAACUCAAAGUGUUAGCAAGAUUCAAUUUCUAAGAUCUGACAACGGAAAGGAGUGCAUCUUGAAGCAAUUUAAUAUAUUUUGUAAAGAAGCUGACAUUGAACAUGAACUCACAGCUCCUGCACUCCAGAGAGUCGGGAUGCGAAACCUGGAGGCCGUCCGCCACCUCAAGGCACAUUCCUUUUAACCCCUGCGCUCUCUCUACUUGGCCUUUGCCCCCUAUGAGGAGAUUGGUGGACACGAUGGGUUGGCUUCGCCUGAUAAGGAUUACAGGGCAUUCUACGCAGAGAGGAGUCCCUGGUGGAUGAUGAUUAAGGCCAUUGGGGCUCCAGGGUCUAACCGUCUAAGCUGUAUGAUCACUCUGCUGUGGAGAAUCUCCUGAAGUUUAUUGAGAGCAUUUGGAGGUCUCGCUCCUCCCAGUUGACUUGAUCAAGUCAGCUUGAAGGCUGAAGGGAUGUUGUUUCUGUUAAUAUGGUCAAAGGCUGGAACUGCAACUCCAACUGUAAGGCAAUCAAACUUGUCUUCAGUGUUAAGUAAUAUAUGAUAAAUUGAUAAUAAUAAUAUCAUUUUAUUGUUCACUGUUCAGCAUUCUUUCUCAACAUAAUCUUUUCUCGUCAUAUCAAUACUUGUUUUUACAUUGGAGUGGAGUGAAAUCUGCAAACAGAGACAUGCUGACAAUUAAGUGCUGAGAGAUUUCAGAAACUAUUAUGGUUGGAUUUCCUCCCAGAUGAUUCUAUUCUAUCUCUUUUGCUGUGCACCAUGUUUUUUCAUGAAUUUACAGCCACCUGAAGCAGAAGCUGGAUUUGAUAUUAGGGUGCCACCAAUUGCUGAUCCUGAAUCAUUGGAGUGACGCAUUGCUGAAGAAUGUGCUGUACUUUAAGGCUGUAACAAAUCAGGCCAUGGUCUUCAUUUUAUGCAAUUUUAUCAACUUUUCCAUGAGAAAGUUAAUGCCAUGGGUGAUUCUUCGGGGUAUUUUAGGUUUAGAACAAACAAAAUAAAAGAAAAAUGUGUUGUGGAUAGUUGUUUUAUAAUUGUGUAACAUGCUCCAAUGACCUUAUGCACAAUUGUACAAGGACUGCACAUGGGUUGAGUUGGAUGGAUUCUUAAGCUAAUUAAGAUCCGAACCGAUCAAAACUGCUUAGGUUGGAUUUCGUGAAAUUUCACCUACGAACUUGAACUAACCCAAUCCGACAAUCUUCGGGUUGGUUUGGAUGGAUUGAUUGGAUCGCUAUAUUAAAAUAAAAAUAAAUUUGGAAUAUUGAAAAGUAUUAAAAAACAAGUACUCCAAGUCUCUAACAUCCAAGUCUCUAACAUGCAAUUACAUCAUAAAUUUAUAAUCACUGCCUACACAUACCCAUACAACAACCUAUAACUAAAUAAGUACUCAUAGUCUAUAAAUAUGACAAAUAAUUACAAACAAAUUAGUCUCCAAGUCUCCUAAAAAUCAAACUCUACUAGUAUGACUCCAAGUCUCUAUAAAUCACAUACCCUACUAGUAGGUUAGGUAAAAAUUAAAAUUAUUGAAAAUAUAUAUUAAAUAGUAUAUUAUUAUAUGAUUGGAUUUUGAGUUGGGUUUGAUGGAUUAUAAUGGAAUCCGACAUCCGAUCCAAAGAUGAUUGGAUCAUAAUAAAAUUCAUCCAGUUGACCCGUUUGUCCAAUCCAACCCGCAAUUUUACCAUUGGAUCAGAUUAGGUUGGAUGGUUUCAUUAGGUUGACCAGACCAAUGUGCACCCCUCAGAACUCAUAUUAGUUGGCUUCACCUAUUUUUAUUUUUUUAAAGAAAGUUGCAACUGUUACGACCACGGGUCAAGAUAUGCCUCGGGAUCAUAAAUUGCUUACAUUGAUACUUACUAAUCGCCCACUAGCACAAUUAUCAUAUUAACAACGAGAAUCGAAUACGCUACUUUUUUAUGGGAAGUUGUCUGUCAUUAGUUAGCUUCAUUUGAUCAUAUAAAUGAUACGUAGUCUUCUAGUAUUACACAUUUAUCUUUUUUUUGUGUUAAACAAGUAAGGUGUCAGAGUUAAAUACUGUGAAUGAUAAAUAGAUAGAAGAAAAAUAUUGGAAAAUCUAAAAUAUAUGAAUUUUACUGACAAAUUUUAUGUCUUAAGGACUAAAUAAAAGACAUCUAAAAAACAAGAUAUUUCUCUGAUCAGUAGGAUUUGGAUAGGGUACUACAGUACUCAUCUCCAUGCCCACAUUUCAAAAAAGUAUCAUACUCGUCCCUAUAUCUGCAUAGGUAUUAACUGAAAUAUUCAUCCUCGUACUUUCUGCCUUCUAGGUACUUAUAUACAUGUGUUUGUAUUCAUUACUCACAAUUUAGUUAACCAAAAUAUAAAUUUUACUAUUUGUAUUUUCUAUACAAAAUUGAAAUAUGAUUCUUAUUAUAAAAUAAAUUGAUUAAUUACAAAUACAAAAAAUAUCCCAAUAUAUAACAAGUAAAAUCAUUCAACCAAGGCCUCGUUUGGAAAAGUUUAUUUGAGUUUAUCUGAUAGCAUAAGUGCUUAUGUCAGUGUUUAGGAGAGCUUAUGCAAACAACUCAUGACCUACCAUAAGCUGUUUUGAGCUUAUUUUCAAAAGCUAUUCAAGAUAGCUUAUGAAAAACAACUUAUGCUUAUGUAUAGCUUAUUUUCAAUUUAUUUCAAUAAAAUUUUUAAAAUAUCUUAAGCGCUUAAUUAAGCUGUUUUCCCAAUCGGGACCUGAGUAUAAAUUAUUCGUUUCGUUCAACAAAUGGGAGGAGAGAUAAAAGAUUUUUUUUUUGUAAACUAGAGGAGAAAUAUUUUAAUCCUUGUUUGGUUAAGAGGAAGGCAUGAGAGGAAAUAACUUUUUUUCUCGUUUGGUUCAUGAAGAAAGACAAGAGAUUUGAAAAUAAAUUUACUUAAGUUACCCUUUUAAUUUUUAAAAAUAUUGAGGAAGGCCACUCCAAUUUCAAAAGUUACAAGUAAAAUCAUUCUACUAAGUAUAAAUUAUUUUUAGAGGUAGUAAGAGUUUGUUUCGUUCAACGGAGGGACGAGAGAUGAAAGAUUUUUUUUUUUGAAACUAGAGGAGAAAUAUUUUAAUCCUUAUUUGGUUAAGAUGAAGGGUGAGAGGAAAUAACUUUUUUCUUGUUUGGUUCAUGAAAACAAGAGAUUUGAAAACAAAUUUACUUAAGUUACCCCUUACUUUUAAUUUUUUUUUUAAAUUGAGGAAUGUCACUCCAAUUUCCCAACUUUUGGAGAGGAGACAAAAUUGAAUUAGGAGAGGUAUUGGCCCCCUCCAUCCCCCCUCCUAAAAAUUGAGCGAAGCAUAAUAAGUUAAAAAAAAAACUCAAUCCCUCCCUUUCAGUCUCUCCAACCAAUCACGAUUAAAGUUUUAGGUUACUAACCUACUUAUUUUAAAAAUAAGUGAAAGUAAAUUAGCAACCACAUAUAUAAUAUUAAAACCUCACUAACCUAAUUGUGUGGGUGUAUAUACAUACAUAUAUAUAAUAUGUGUGCGAGAAUAGGGAGGGUUGGAUACUGUACCUAUACAGGUCUCAUACCCACUCUAUUUUGCAAGUUAUUAUCAAUGCCCAAUCUCACCAUUUAGUGAUUUUUUGCCCUACCCAUGAUGAAUAUUUUUUUAGGGUACCCAAUACAUACGAUACCUUUUCCAACCCGUUUUUUCUCUCAAAUUUGCAAAGCUCAUUAAUUCAGGUAACGAACAAACCUAUUUGGUUCUCAUCAACUGCACAAAUGUUUCAACUAGUAUUUUACUUUUUUGACUAUUAUAAAUUUAUAUAUUGUUGGAUCCUGAGAGGCACAACCUCUAAAGUUUUGAUGACAAACAAUCCAAUGAUACCAAAGUUUUGUUAGAAGUUGUUUCUAAAAUAUCUUGGAGGUAAUUCAUCAAAAUAUCAACACCUUCGGUAGACCAAGUAAAGGUGCAAGUACAAGGACCUUUCAAAGUAUAAUUCGAAGAGAGGUGCAAGUACAAUGGGGCGUUUGCUACAAGUUUUACAAAAAUAUUCUCAGGAAUGUUGUUUCCCAGGAAUCUCAUUACCAGCAAAGUCAUUCCCGGGUAAAAUGAAAAAUGUGUUUGGUUAGUAUAAGUUAUUCCCGGGAAUGUUUUUCAAAAUCAUUUAAUAGAAAAAAUAUAAAAAUAGAAAAUAAGUAGUGGAAGAGAGAGUUAGUGGAAAAUAACUUUCAUUCCCAUGGGAAUAUAAGAUUCCCCUUCUUUGAGAUGAGAAUGAGAUUUGAAAAAUCAUGUGUAAUUUACUUACCUGGUAAUCUUUCAUACCCGGGAAUAAAAAAAUGUAAACUUCUACCAAACAUGGAAAUGUUACUUUCCCAACCUCACAUUCCCGGGAAUGUUUUAAGAUGUCUAUCUACCAAACGCCCCCCAAGAUACAAAUCAAGAGCGGGUGAUUAAAAGGAAGAUUAUGUUAAUAUAAUGAAAGCUCAAAUCAUCACACAUCUAAUACUUAAAUAUUGAUGUGUACUCUAAAGAAGGAAUCUGAUCGACAACAAAGAAG